UACGUAGGGACCAAGCGUUGUUCGGAUUUACUGGGCGUAAAGGGCGCGUAGGCGGCGCGGUAAGUCACUUGUGAAAUCUCUGAGCUUAACUCAGAACGGCCAAGUGAUACUGCAGUGCUAGAGUGUGGAAGGGGCAAUCGGAAUUCUUGGUGUAGCGGUGAAAUGCGUAGAUAUCAGGAGGAACACCGGUGGCGAAGGCGGGUCUCUGGGCAGUAGCUGACGCUGAGGAGCGAAAGCGUGGGGAGCGAACAGG
rnacentral:rRNA from 1 species